rnacentral:lncRNA from 11 species
UCCGAGCGGGCCUCGAACUCAUGACCUCCUGGUCAGAGUGAUUCAUUGCAGUUAAUUGCAGCUGGCUUGCUCUCCCGCCUGCACCACAGCCCGGGCCCAAUCUUAAUGUAAUUUGAUGUUUAAUAGGCUUUUCCUUAAUCCCUCCUCAUUAUCCAACCUUUUUGCUUAUCCAACGCUUUUAUUUUUCAGUGAUUGGUUGGGGGGGGGGCAUAAUUCUGUUCGCCUACACUUGAAAAAUACCUAGGGCCGGCUCUGGGAGGAACACAGUGGGUGGGCCCCGAUUGGAGAUGUCUCUGUGGCUGACCCCUCUCCCCCCCCCCGUCCACACUAGAACCUCUUCCACCACCUGACGGACGUGCAGGGCAGCGGCGUGGUGCGGAUCCCGGAGGCCAAGGGGGACGACGCCUGGAAGGUCUACUUUGACGAAACGGGGCAGGAGAUCGUGGACGAGUUCGCCAUGCGCUACGGCAUCGAGUCCAUCUACCAGGCCAUGACGCACUUUGCGUGCCUCUCCUCCAAGUACAUGUGUCCCGGGGUCCCGGCCGUGAUGAGCACCUUGCUGGCCAACAUCAACGCCUACUACGCCCACACCUCCGCCUCCACCAACGUCUCCGCCUCCGACCGCUUCUCCGCUUCCAACUUCGGGAAAGAGCGUUUUGUGAAGCUCCUGGACCAGCUCCACAACUCCCUCCGGAUCGACCUCUCCAUGUACCGGGUGAGUGCCGAGGAAGCAGAGCAUUGCACACUCUUCUUGGGAGCAAGGUCUGAAGAACCCAGUGGGGCUGCUCUUGUGCUCAAAGAACAUGGCCUGUGCAUUUCACCAGGCCCUUCUCAUCCUGAGACGGAGCGCCCAGGGCUUCCGGAGAGCAAAGGACGAGGGCUGGGUUGCUCAGUGGAGGGUUGCGGUUCAUUGUGUUGCCGUCACACGAUUCCUUCUAUCCCAUAAAAGACUUUCCCUCCUCCAUGCUGUCCAAGGGCGUUUGGGGGCGUUUGGCCAUUGUUGUCUACCUUCCCGUUAGGUCCAAAUGAACGCGGGGACAUGGCCCGUCCAUCCAUGUGGCUUGUGGUGGCCGUUUCUCAGUUCUGAGUAGCGCAGGCAUGUGGAUGUGCACGCAUGCGAGCACAGGCACCCCAGUGUGGCCAGCAACGGUCCCAGGAGAAGCCCCCCGGGAAUUGCUUAAUUAUACAUUGCGGGAUAACGCUGCUUAUUAUGAGAGGGAAAAAACCCACUUAAUCCUUGGAUGAGAUGUCAGUUCAUUCUGCU